rnacentral:tRNA from 1 species
GCCUUCGUGGUGUAGUGGUCAGCACACUGGGCGUAUUCCAUAGGUCCGUGGUUCGAGUCCCGGCGAAGGCG